UCGACCCCAAGUAAUCGGGACAGUUCUUCUCUGAGGGGUUAGUUAGAAUAUUGCUCCCUCAGAUAAAAGGAAGGCAGGACCGGAUUUGCCGACAAUUACGGGGACAAAGUGGGGGAACUUCACCUGCCUCCAGGGACCAACACUGCCAAAUUCUCCGGGGUGUCCUGGAGUACGCGCGCUCCCGGGGCCUCGGCGUCCUGAGGAGUUCGGCGAGACCAGAGUUUGGCUCUCUGGCCUGCAAGGUGCUCUCACCUUGAGCCAAUUUCUAAAUCUUGUCACCCUCCAGCGCAGGGCCUACGCAACACACACAGAUAUGGGAUGAUUCAGACCUUCAGGAGACUAUGAGUGCUCCCCUUUUUGGAAACAUAAACCCAGGAGAGACCUUACCCGAAAGAUCGCCCUGGUUUGUACCUGGAAGCCUGCGGUUGCUCUGCGUCUGCUUCAUCUCCGCUGGCUGCAGAUAACCGCUUGCACGGUGUGUGGGAUUCCUUCACGGCUCACUGUCAGAUGAAGUCUGGUUCUUCCUGCUCCUAGGCUCUGGAGAACACAGAACUGGGGGUCUCCUAAAGGGAAGCCUUCUGCACCCCAGUGCAGUAGAAAGUGCUGGGAAAGGCUGUCCAUUCGCUAUCCCGAAUCGGGGACGAGCUCUAUCUGGAACCCUUGAAGGACGG
rnacentral:lncRNA from 1 species